GUGAAUCAUCGAAUCUUUGAACGCAAAUUGCACUUUCUGGUAUUCCGGAAAGUAUGCCUGUUUGAGGGUCAGUAUUAAUAAAAAAUCGGUUUAGUUACAAAUUGUGACGUUUACGGAGUUUGGGCUUUCUUAACAUUUUUGGUUAAGAGGCUUAAAAUUGACCUUUUUUGCGCAUUUUUAAACGUACAUAAAUUUUUAUUAUUCGUCUAUUUUUAAUGCCAAAAUCUUAUUAGAUGAGAUCACAUCGUGUGGUUUAGUGUCCAUAAAAUUUUCUUGAUUUGGUAU
rnacentral:misc_RNA from 1 species